AACCACCCUGAGAAACUCCCUCUAUGAAUCAACAACAUCACCUCUCAGUCCUCUAAACUCCAGUGAGUUCUGGCCUAACCUGUCCAACCUGUGCAACUUCAUCGCGGGAUGCAGGGGAAUACAUUGGGCAGUGAAAUGAGAUCAUAUUUGUCCAACUGCAAACAAUUGGCCCACAGGGAGACACAUUCAAGCAAGAUUCCAAUUUUUUUUAAUCCUCUUGAAAGGAAUAACUGAGUCUGCUUUGGCCUAGUUGGAUUAGGAACAGCAUCAACUUGCAUUUUCAA